rnacentral:rRNA from 1 species
AGUUGUAAUUUGCAGAGGAUGCUUCGGGUUUGGCUCCGGUCUAAGUUCCUUGGAACAGGACGUCAUAGAGGGUGAGAAUCCCGUAUGUGACUGGCCGCCACGCCUGUGUGAAGCUCCUUCGACGAGUCGAGUUGUUUGGGAAUGCAGCUCAAAAUGGGUGGUAAAUUUCAUCUAAAGCUAAAUACUGGCCAGAGACCGAUAGCGCACAAGUAGAGUGAUCGAAAGAUGAAAAGCACUUUGGAAAGAGAGUCAAACAGUACGUGAAAUUGUUGAAAGGGAAGCGCUUGCAACCAGACUUGCCCGCGGGUGAUCAACCGAUAUUCUUACCGGUGCACUCGCCCGUGGUCAGGCCAGCAUCGGUUUGGGCGGCUGGAUAAAGUCCACUGGAAUGUAGCUCCUCUCGGGGAGUGUUAUAGCCAGAGGUGCCAUGCAGCCCGUCCGGACCGAGGACCGCGCUUCGGCUAGGAUGCUGGCGUAAUGGUUGUAAGCGACCCGUCUUGAAACACGGACCAAGGAGUCUAACAUCUAUGCGAGUGUUUGGGUGUCAAACCCAUGCGCGUAAUGAAAGUGAACGGAGGUGGGAACCCUUAAGGGUGCACCAUCGACCGAUCCUGAUGUCUUCGGAUGGAUUUGAGUAAGAGCAUAGCUGUUGGGACCCGAAAGAUGGUGAACUAUGCCUGAAUAGGGUGAAGCCAGAGGAAACUCUGGUGGAGGCUCGCAGCGGUUCUGACG